rnacentral:misc_RNA from 1 species
GUCAAACUGCAGAUUGUUGUUUCUGCUUCUUGCAAUUUACUCAGAGUGCUCUGGUGCUCGGAUUGCAAGGCGUCCUUCUUCUUUCGCAGCCAUCAGCUGAGCCUUCAACUCAAUUAUUUCCAGAUUUGCGCUUGCCAAUUCUUCCUUGAUGCCAUCUGUUACUUCUGUGAAUUUCAGUUUACCAUUUUUCUUCCCCUUUUUUCUCGUACUGCCAUCUGAAUCUGAGUCUGAGUCUGAGCUGGAGGAAGAACUAUCUUUCUCGUGUUUUCCAUGUACAUUAUCCCUCAGUUUUCCAGUGAGAUGAUCAUAACGAGCAUACAGUGAUUGGUAAUGAUUGUGAAAAUCUUCAACUGCCUCAACAAGUGGUUCUUUU